AGCUUGCUACAGCAAUGAAAGCAGCCACCACCACAUGCAUUUGGCAGGAACUUAAAGGCAGGCUGAAGAGUGAGAAAGCUUUUCAUGAAGAAAAGGGGAAGGCUUCAGGAGUGCUCUGAUUGGAGGUUUUUGGCCUGGGGAAGCUGGAGCAGGAAAGUAGUCGAGUUGCUAGAUCUGCGCAGACUGAAACAGCAGGAAAAAUGGAACAAUGCAUGGACACUCUGGACUGCUGGCCAAAUGCUGGAGAGGCUUCCUCUGCUCUCUGGCAUCCCCUUGGAUGAAGUUGGGUGAGGAUGUCUACAAAACAAUCAAAAUUUUGUGUCCCUCCAGCCUGGCAAAAUGAGAGAAUCAAAGCCAGAUUUUACCCACUUGGGUCAUUGAAUCCACAAUUACUUGCUGUCAUGAUGCUGAAAAGAAUGCCCAUCCUGGCUUCUCCAAAUGACGAAAAUUCAAUGGCGAGGUCUCUCCUGGUGUGAUGAAGUUCCACUCUCUGCUUCCAGAAGUGAGAGAAGACCCAGGAGUGCCAUUCUUAAGCCACUUUGGAAGCCGCUGGACUGUGAGUCUCUUAUGCCACCUUCUCGACCCAUCUGGAGUAAUGAGGAUCACGGCGUCUCCUUCAUAGGGUUGACUGAGGAUUAAAUGAGAUAAUGCCGGCCAUGCAUCCAGCAGAGGACCCGGGACAGGGGUUUGCUUAACCCACGUUAGUUGCCUUCAGUGAACCGAGAGCCUCCUUUGCUGUCUGCCUCUGCCUGCCAGUUUUAUUGUUCAGUCACGCAGGAAUCUUGAGAAAAACCAUGGAAGAUUUAUUGCAAGCUUUUCAACCUUUGCUUCCUUUAUUUGUUAACCUCCAUCCAACCAGAGUCUUUUAUUUUCCCCUUCAUAAGCCCCUUGCGGGCUCUGGCAGGCUCUGAAAGAGUACUUUUGAUAAACCGCUUGGACCCAACGCUCACCCUGGCUGCUCUGUCUUGCUGAUGGCUCGUCGAAGAGUGCUCCAAAGAGCACGGAACUUGAAAAAGGCACAUCCCCACCCUAGAAAUGUCAGGGUUUCCAAAAUGAAAUGCCAAUGCAUUGCCCGAAGGAAGAACCAUGCCUGGCAUGACCCAAAGUAAGAGUGGUUUAGUCUCCGGAACAUUAUGGCAUUUCAGUCAACACUCAUUCAGCAUGCGUGUACCAGCACCCCUUCGUGCUUGCCUGUGUGCCGGAGGUGGGGACACAGUGGUGAACAAGACACGGUUCUUUCUCUCAAGCAGUGCCUAGGUAAGCCUGAAGACAGGAGGGUGGAGGUGGUUACUUAUUGUGACAGCUAGGGGCUUCUCCACACAGUAUUGUAGCUGAUAUUCUCAUGGUUUCCCUUCGUUUAUCUAUUCUAUCUUGAUGGAAGUUUUGCCAUGUUUAAACUUCCAGAGAACAGUGAAAUGGAGGCUUCUGGAAGUGUUCUGGGGCCCUAUAUCAGGCUCCCUUCUCUUCUUUACCUAUGCUCACUCCUUAGACGAUCUCACGCUGCCUCUGCCAAAGGCACUUGGGCCAUUUUUCUGUGUCCCAAAUUCAAAUUGUAAUUCAAACAUGGUUCU